UAUAAUUUGGCUUGGUUAAGUAAGUUAAAAGGAUGAUUACAUCAUUGAAGUUGCACUGAUUAAUCUGGUUUGUGUGAUAGAAAUAUCAAAUACAUUUGUCUUUGAUGCGUGAUAAUUAUUUAAUGCCAUGAGAAUUUGUUUAAUGGUGAGGUUUAAAAUGUAUCUAUAUUUUGUUAUAUAAUUUGUUUUGUAAUUUAUUUGACAAAUGAUAGAAAUUAACUCAGUUAUUAUGUGAGGUGAAUUAUGAUUUGGGUAGCACAUCUAUAUUCUGCAAUAAUAGAUAAAAUAUAUUUAUGUCAUGGGUGAAUGGUUAAACACUUGGGCUAAUUUAAGAUGUAUACUUAGUAAGGGUAGUUGGUAAUGAAG
rnacentral:lncRNA from 1 species